rnacentral:rRNA from 1 species
AUUGAACGCUGGCGGCAUGCCUUACACAUGCAAGUCGAACGGUAACAGGCCGCAAGGUGCUGACGAGUGGCGAACGGGUGAGUAAUGCAUCGGAACGUGCCCAGUCGUGGGGGAUAACUGCUCGAAAGAGCGGCUAAUACCGCAUACGACCUGAGGGUGAAAGCGGGGGACCGUAAGGCCUCGCGCGAUUGGAGCGGCCGAUGUCAGAUUAGCUAGUUGGUGGGGUAAAGGCCUACCAAGGCAACGAUCUGUAGUUGGUCUGAGAGGACGACCAGCCACACUGGGACUGAGACACGGCCCAGACUCCUACGGGAGGCAGCAGUGGGGAAUUUUGGACAAUGGGCGCAAGCCUGAUCCAGCAAUGCCGCGUGCAGGAAGAAGGCCUUCGGGUUGUAAACUGCUUUUGCCAGGGAAGAAAUCUUCUGGGCUAAUACCCCGGGAGGAUGACGGUACCUGAAGAAUAAGCACCGGCUAACUACGUGCCAGCCGCCGCGGUAACAC